GCGAUAAGCCUCGGGGAAGAGCAAACAUCUUUUGAUCCGGGGAUUUCCGAAUGGGGAAACCCGCAUGGCUGUUGAGGCCAUGCACUGUUGAGUGAAUACAUAGCUCAUCAGGGCGAACUUGGGGAACUGAAACAUCUCAGUACCCAAAGGAAUAGAAAUCAACCGAGAUUCUGCUAGUAGCGGCGAGCGAACGCGGAAGAGCCCAAACCACCGGGUACGCCCGGUGGGGUUGUAGGGCCGCCAACAAAGGAUAAUUGGAGGAUUAGCUGAAGUGUCUGGGAAGGCACGGCAUAGAGGGUUAGACCCCCGUAAGCGAAAGUCUGAAGAUGUCCGAGGCGGUACCUGAGUAGGACGGGACACGAGAAAUCCUGUUUGAAUCUGGGGGGACCACCCUCCAAGGCUAAAUAUUACCCAGAGACCGAUAGUGUACCAGUACCGUGAGGGAAAGGUGAAAAGAACCUCGAACAGAGGAGUGAAAUAGUUCCUGAAACCCUGCGUCUACAAGCAGUGGAAGCAAUGCUGAUCUUCGGAUCACGUGCGACCGCGUGCCUUUUGCAUAAUGAGCCAACGAGUUGUCUGUCGGUGGCAGGUUAAGUUUAUAACGAAGCCACAGCGAAAGCGAGUUCGAAAUGAGCGUUCAGUCCCCGGCAACAGACCCGAAACCGAGUGAUCUACCCCUGUCCAGGUUGAAGCCUGGGUAAGACCAGGUGGAAGACCGAACCGUUGAGCCUUAAAACGUUCUCGGAUGAGGUGGGGGUAGGAGUGAAAGGCUAAUCAAACUCGGAGAUAGCUGGUUCUCCCCGAAAUAUAUUGAGGUAUAGCCUCGUGAUAGACCGCCGGAGGUAGAGCACUGGAUGGACUAGGGCCCUCACCAGGGUACCAAACCCAACCAAACUGCGAAUACCGGUGAGUUGUUUCACGGGAGUCAGACAGCGGGAGCUAACUUUCGUUGUCGAAAGGGAAACAACCCAGACCAUCAGCUAAGGCCCCCAAGUCAUGACUAAGUGGGAAAGGAAGUGGGAGCGCCCAGACAACCAGGAGGUUGGCUUAGAAGCAGCCACCCUUUAAAGAAAGCGUAACAGCUCACUGGUCGAGCGAGCCUGCACCGAAAAUUUAACGGGGCUCAAGUCAUGCGCCGAAGCUAUGGGAUUUAUAUUUAUAUAAAUCGGUAGGGGAGCGUUCCCUGUGCAGUGAAGCUGAAUCGAAAGGGUCAGUGGAGCGCAGGGAAGUGAGGAUGUUGGCAUAAGUAACGAAAAUGUGGGCGAGAAACCCACACGCCGAAAGCCCAAGGUUUCCCGGGCCAUGUUAUUCAGCCCGGGGUUAGUC
rnacentral:rRNA from 1 species